UGUAAGCUAUGCCUCCGGGCACAUACAGACGAUGGGUAUAGACUCCUACUUUUUAGAUAAAUAUAAGUCUGAGAGCAGGAGGCGCGGCCACGGCGAGCACGCCGCGCGGAUGGCGAUGCAGGCGGCUGAGGAGCGGCCGUGUGAGCGCGGGCUGGCUGCUCCAGAGGACGCGCCGCUGCUAGUGCGGGCAGCUGCCGCUGCGUACCGCGGCGCCACCGGUACCGGCGCCUACGGGGCACUCCGAGCAUCCGCAGCAGCCAGCGCCAGAGCCGCCUACGGGUCGACCAAAUUUCGGCGGCAGCUGUGAAGGCCUCACGUCUCAACACGGAUGGACCCCAGUGCCCUGCUAGUGGAGCCUCGGUGCGGGCGUCAACUUCCGAACGACGACCGCAGUGGGAGUUCCCUGUGGUGACUGGAGCUGACCGGGAAGCUGACUGCCAUCUCCAACAGCUUCCCCGAGCGGGAACCUUUGAGUCCCGCAUUAGGGGGACGCCCACCUUCCCCCACACACCGUAAGGUGGCUUGCGGAGUAAACACCUGCUGUGUGUGCUGAGGACCUGACAUACUGCAUUGCCAGCGACGCGACAAGCCACCGAGCUUGGCGCCACCGCCAGCAACACGUCUCGUGUGGAGAGAGCCAGUCAUCUCUAGUGUGGACCUGACAGGAAGAUGGCAGGCUUGUGGUUAACAGCGCUGAUACAGUCAGGCCGUUUACUCUCUAACGGCUUCUGCAGGUGUACUUGGACUGGAUUUGGUCUAUAUUGUGGCAAGACUCUUACUUUCUAACCUUUGAUGCUGCUGGACUGGUUUUUGAGAAGUGAGAAUCCAAAAUAUGUAAUCCAUCUGUGCGAAUUUUGUCUAAUAAAUGAUACGUUUUUAUGCUACCACUAAA